rnacentral:rRNA from 1 species
UCAUAUGUACAUGCUUACAACAUUAAUGCAUUGGAUCCCAUUAGAAAUCCGCAGUUAAUCAUGAUUGACCUAGAGUAUUACUAGGAUGGGUGACCUCCUAGGAAGUCCUAGUGUUUUAUAUGCC